rnacentral:rRNA from 1 species
GAUGAACGCUGGCGGCGUGCCUAAUACAUGCAAGUCGAGCGAACGGACGAGAAGCUUGCUUCUCUGAUGUUAGCGGCGGACGGGUGAGUAACACGUGGAUAACCUACCUAUAAGACUGGGAUAACUUCGGGAAACCGGAGCUAAUACCGGAUAAUAUUUUGAACCGCAUGGUUCAAAAGUGAAAGACGGUCUUGCUGUCACUUAUAGAUGGAUCCGCGCUGCAUUAGCUAGUUGGUAAGGUAACGGCUUACCAAGGCAACGAUGCAUAGCCGACCUGAGAGGGUGAUCGGCCACACUGGAACUGAGACACGGUCCAGACUCCUACGGGAGGCAGCAGUAGGGAAUCUUCCGCGAUGGGCGAAAGCCUGACGGAGCAACGCCGCGUGAGUGAUGAAGGUCUUCGGAUCGUAAAACUCUGUUAUUAGGGAAGAACAUAUGUGUAAGUAACUGUGCACAUCUUGACGGUACCUAAUCAGAAAGCCACGGCUAACUACG